rnacentral:rRNA from 1 species
UACCCGCUGAAUUUAAGCAUAUAAGUAAGCGGAGGAAAAGAAAUUAAAAAAGAUUCCUUCAGUAGUGGCGAAUGAAGUAGGAGAAGCUCAGAUUGUAAAUUGGGACCCAUGGUCCUGAAUUGUAACCUUCAAACGUGUGGCCAACAGAGGCGCAGAUGUAGGUCUCUUGGCAGAGGGCAUCGAUGAGGGUGAAAAUCCCAUUCGUCAUCUGCAGUCCUUUGUGCACGGCCCAUGUUUUAUGAGUCACGCUCCUUGGGAUUGGAGCGCAAAUCAGUUGGUAAAUUUCAUCUAAAGCUAAAUAAUGGUUUGAGACCGAUAGAAGACAAGUACCAUGAGGGAAAGGUGAAAAGGACUUUGAAAAGAGAGUUAGUAGUGCCUGAAAUUGCUGAAUGGGAAGCGAAUGGAACCAAGACUGGGGCAGGAUUGUUGUGUGCGAUGGUGCCUCACUGCGCUCUUUCAGCGAAAGCGAGGGGGUGAAGCGAGGUCCUUCCCAGUGCAAUGUCUCCUGCCUUUUGUUCGCCAGCGUCAACACACAAGCGAGCAAAACUUUGGAGGUGUGGCGCCCCUCGCACUUCUCUGUGUGGGGGAACGCUUCCAGGGGAACUCGAUUGUGAGUGGAACGAUGGUUAGAAUGGUUCCAUUCGACCCGUCUUGAAACACGGACCAAGGAGUUUAACGCAUGUGCAAGCUCAUAGAUGGCAAAUCUGUCAGCGCAAUGAAAGUGAUUGUUGGGAUCUUUUUUUCCACCAGCAUCCAACUGAUCGAAGGGGAGAGGUUUGAGUGUGAGCAUAUUUGUUAGGACCCGAAAGAUGGUGAACUAUGCCUGAGGAGGGCAAACUCAGGGGAAACUCUGAUGGAGGCUUGUAGCGAUACUGACGUGCAAAUCGUUCGUCACACUUGGGUAUAG